rnacentral:rRNA from 1 species
CGACGGGGUACCCUUGACAGAGGCUUCGGCCAAUGGAUAGGAAUACCUAGUGGCGGACGGGUGAGUAACGCGUGAGGAACCUGCCUUGGAGUGGGGAAUAACAGCUAGAAAUAGCUGCUAAUACCGCAUAAAGCAGUUGGGUCGCAUGACUCUGACUGCCAAAGAUUUAUCGCUCUGAGAUGGCCUCGCGUCUGAUUAGAUAGUUGGCGGGGUAACGGCCCACCAAGUCGACGAUCAGUAGCCGGACUGAGAGGUUGGCCGGCCACAUUGGGACUGAGACACGGCCCAGACUCCUACGGGAGGCAGCAGUGGGGAAUAUUGGGCAAUGGGCGCAAGCCUGACCCAGCAACGCCGCGUGAAGGAAGAAGGCCCUCGGGUUGUAAACUUCUUUUAUCAGGGACGAAACACAUGACGGUACCUGAUGAAUAAGCCACGGCUAACUACGUGCCAGCAGCCGCGGUAAUACGUAGGUGGCAAGCGUUAUCCGGAUUUACUGGGUGUAAAGGGCGUGUAGGCGGGAGAGCAAGUCAGACGUGAAAUUCCAGGGCUCAACCCUGGAACUGCGUUUGAAACUGUUCUUCUUGAGUGAUGGAGAGGCAGGCGGAAUUCCGUGUGUAGCGGUGAAAUGCGUAGAUAUACGGAGGAACACCAGUGGCGAAGGCGGCCUGCUGGACAUUAACUGACGCUGAGGCGCGAAAGCGUGGGGAGCAAACAGG